rnacentral:rRNA from 1 species
UACGUAGGGGGCAAGCGUUGUCCGGAAUCAUUGGGCGUAAAGAGCGUGUAGGCGGCCAGAUAAGUCCGCUGUGAAAUCUCGAGGCUCAACUUCGAGCUGUCGGUGGAAACUGUCUGGCUAGAGGCCGGAAGAGGAGAAUGGAAUUCCUGGUGUAGCGGUGAAAUGCGCAGAUAUCAGGAAGAACACCCGUGGCGAAGGCGGUUCUCUGGGACGGUACUGACGCUGAGACGCGAAAGCGUGGGGAGCAAACAGG